rnacentral:rRNA from 1 species
UACAGAGGGUCUCAAGUCGUUGAUUCGGAUCAUUGGGCGUAAAGGGUGCGUAGGCGGGUCUUUAAGUCAGGGGUGAAAUCCUGGAGCUCAACUCCAGAACUGCCUUUGAUACUGGCGAUCUCGAGUCCGGGAGAGGUGAGUGGAACUGCGAGUGUAGAGGUGAAAUUCGUAGAUAUCAGGAGGAACACCGGUGGCGAAGGCGGAUCUCUGGGCCGAUACUGACGCUGAGGAGCGAAAGCGUGGGGAGCGAACAGG